UACGGAGGGGGCAAGCGUUGUUCGGAUUUAUUGGGCGUAAAGAGCGCGUAGGCGGAUUGGUAAGUCCGGUGUGAAAACUUCACCGCUCAACGGGAAGACUGCAUCGGAAACGGCCAAUCUUGAGUACGGUAGAGGCGAGCGGAAUUCCUGGUGUAGCGGUGGAAUGCGUAGAUAUCAGGAAGAACACCAGUGGCGAAGGCGGCUCGCUGGGUCGUUACUGACGCUGAGGCGCGAAAGCCAGGGGAGCAAACGGGAUUAGAUACCCCCGUA
rnacentral:rRNA from 1 species